UAUAACUUAUAGCUUCACAUAACAAUAAAAUAACAAUAGUUAAAAAUUAUAAAAUAUAAAUUACUGUAGUCAAAAUGAAAAAGAAAAAGAAGAAAAAAAUCAUUCUCAUCACUAUUUCACAUAAAAAAAGAUUUAUAAUUAAUAAAAUUGUUUUUAAAUUAAAAUUAUAAUUUCAUAUUUAUAAAAAAAUUUCCACGUUCAAUAUUUGAGUCUGAAGUUGCUAGCACCGAGGGGCUAGCGAAAUAUUACAAUAAAAUAAUUGAAUUGGGAUUGGUUUGCCAGUGAAUCAGUAAUAACAUAAAAUAAAACACCAAUCUAAGGAUAUAUGAAUGCAAUAGCAUUCAUAUAUAUUAAAAUAACAACAACAAAUAUCUAAAUAUAGUUUAUUCAAAAAAUACAAUAAAAUAUUGAUAAAAUUUUAUUAAUUAUCAAGGGUUAAGAAGGUUAAGAAGGAAGAAUAAUAAUCAAUAAAUCAACUAAA